UACGUAGGGUGCAAGCGUUUAAUCGGAAUUACUGGGCGUAAAGCGUGCGCAGGCGGUUAUGUAAGACAGAUGUGAAAUGCCCGGGCUUAACCUGGGAACUGCAUUUGUGACUGCAUGGCUAGAGUUUGGCAGAGGGGGGGUAGAAUUCCACGUGUAGCAGUGAAAUGCGUAGAUAUCAGGAGGGAACACCGGUGGCGAAGGCGGGUCUCUGGGCAGUAACUGA
rnacentral:rRNA from 1 species